GUGCAGGUUGGUUUUGCAGACAAAUACGACUGUGUCACAUUUGUCCAUGAUAUUAUGGCUUUUCCACAGGAAACCACCAGCUUGAAGUUUUUCGUCUUCCAAGUGGUCAAGGCACCCACACAAUGAAGCUUAAACACCUUGUCUCUGAAGCACCUCCUGGGGGAGAAUUGUCAUCCCUCGCUUCGCUUCCAUAUUGGCCUUAGCCCAUCUGGAUAUUCUACAGUCCAUGACAUCAGCAGUUUACUUCACCAGCCAUCCAGGCCAUACACAAUAGGAAG
rnacentral:lncRNA from 1 species